UCCGCAGUCCGCAGCGGUAGAUAGCGCCAAUAGCGUCAUGACGUGAUCAUGGCGCCGUAGGAACGCGCAACUCUCGCAUGCAAAAUCGCACCACGUGCCGAUCGCGCGCUCACUCCCCCUUUCUCUCCUUGUCGCGAGCUGUGCCUCUCCACGACGCGUUAGCGUCCGUUUCCUGUCGUCUGACGUUUCCAUGUUUGUAGCGAGAGCUGUCCGAGCUAGGGAGGUAGAGGUGCGACAUGUAGGCUCCCUAGUCCGAGCGUCGCCGCGAUGCCCUCUGGACUGUUGUAAUCGCACGUGAGCCCCUUACAAAAACACUGCUUGUACUCCCCGCGCAGCGGUCCGCAGAAGAUUCCGUCUCCUCCCCCCCCCCCAUGGGAACGUUCCCCACUCGCAGUUCAACGUUGCUCGGUGUUGCUGUCGACAAUAGAGGACGGAAUCCGCGAUACGUCAUCGCUUCGCGUAAAUAUGUUGUGAAGAAACGCCCCCUUGUUUACUCGACCCUGCAGUGCCGUCAGGAAAGACCCACAUAUGGCAAACUGCGUCGGGACAGUUUUGUAUGGUGCCAUGAGCUACAUCUGUGACGCCUGGCGCACACACAUACACACACACACACGCAGAGGACGGCAAUCAGACAGCGGUCACCGUGAAGGAAGGAUCCGACUGCUGCUGAGAUGAUUCCUCAUCCUCGUUUUUGGCCUCAAAGAUCUGGAAGAGAUGAAAUCCAGGAUGGUGGAAAAAGAAGAGAAGAAGAAGCAAGCACCAUGGUUUUGUGAGAACAAUGCAGACUACAAAUGACAGAAAGCUGAAUGAGUUGAUAAGGAUUCAUGGUUUGAAAGGUGUCGAGUCUUUCAUUCACCUCAACCUUUCCCCGAGCCUCCUGGGCCAAUGUCACAAAGUCGUCAUUCUCACCGGUCUGACGUGAACCAACUGGACUCGAAUGCCAACUCCUCCACCGCCACUGAAGGCCACGCUGAUGAGAUGCGAGUGAAGUUCACAAGAAGAUGGUGACUUGAAGUGAUCAACAGUGGUCCAACAAGGGAUGUAACUGGAGUCUGGAGUCAACAUUUUGACAAGUGCCCUUGUAGGAACAUUGGCUCUUCACUGAGGCUGCUUUCGUUUGUCCACCGUUGAUCGAUAGAACCGUCUAAUGUGGUCUACAGCAAGUGGAAGUAGAUAUGUGAUGCAC